GACGAACGCUGGCGGCGUGCUUAACACAUGCAAGUCGAACGGAAAGGCCCUGCUUUUGUGGGGUGCUCGAGUGGCGAACGGGUGAGUAACACGUGAGUAACCUGCCCUUGACUUUGGGAUAACUUCAGGAAACUGGGGCUAAUACCGGAUAGGAGCUCCUGCUGCAUGGUGGGGGUUGGAAAGUUUCGGCGGUUGGGGAUGGACUCGCGGCUUAUCAGCUUGUUGGUGGGGUAGUGGCUUACCAAGGCUUUGACGGGUAGCCGGCCUGAGAGGGUGACCGGCCACAUUGGGACUGAGAUACGGCCCAGAAUCCUACGGGACGCAGCAGUGGGGAAUAUUGCACAAUGGGCGGAAGCCUGAUGCAGCAACGCCGCGUGCGGGAUGACGGCUUUCGGGUUGUAAACCGCUUUCGCCUGUGACGAAGCGUGAGUGACGGUAAUGGGUAAAGAAGCACCGGCUAACUACGUG
rnacentral:rRNA from 1 species